CGUAGGUGGCAAGCGUUACUCGGAAUCACUAGGCGUAAAGCGCAGGUAGGUGGUUGGAUAAGUUCUUUGUGAAAGCUCCUGGCUUAACUGGGAGAGGUCAAGGAAUACUGUCUGGCUUGAGUAUGGUAGGGGAAACUGGAAUUCCCGGUGUAGCGGUGAAAUGCGUAGAUAUCGGGAGGAAUACCUAUGGCGAAAGCAAGUUUCUGGGCCAUUACUGACACUGAGCUGCGAAAGCUAGGGGAGCAAACAGGAUUAGAUACCCUGGUAGUCCUAGCCCUAAACGAUGUUCAUUAGAUGUGGGAGGUAUCGACCCCUUCCGCGUCGGCGCUAACGCAUUAAAUGAACCGCCUGGGGAGUACGGCCGCAAGGUUG
rnacentral:rRNA from 1 species